AGCGGUAUAGUGAAGUGGUUAACACGGGAGGUUUAAGUCUCCGUGAUAUAUUUCUCCUGCCGAAAGGCGUCGUGGGUUCGAACCCCACUGCCGCUA